UACAGAGGGUGCAAGCGUUGUUCGGAAUUACUGGGCGUAAAGCGCGUGUAGGCGGUCUUGUAAGUCGGUCGUGAAAUCCCUUGGCUUAACCAAGGAACUGCGUUCGAAACUGCUUGACUAGAGUAUCGGAGGGGGUGGCGGAAUUCCCGGUGUAGAGGUGAAAUUCGUAGAUAUCGGGAGGAACACCUGUGGCGAAGGCGGCCACCUGGAAGAUUACUGACGCUGAGACGCGAAAGCGUGGGGAGCAAACAGGG
rnacentral:rRNA from 1 species